ACCAUACUUUUAUAAACGUGGGUCAUUGCUAAUUUUGGUGUUGACAACAGCAGUAAAUCUGACAUAUUAUUUCUUUGGUAUUAUUUACAAUCAGUUAAAAGUAGCAUCUGAUCAGACAUUUUCUUUCUUUUUAGAAUAAAGAACGUAAUUAAGUUUCUAAAGCGCGUUUUAUAAAAUUUACCGUCGACGUCCCAAACUUGAAACUGCGUUCACCUAACCACAGAUGAGUCAAAAUAAACAGAUGUGCUGAAGCAACCUACCUUAUUCCUUGAGUAUUAUAUAUGGAAGAUAAAGAAUUUAGACUUUGCCUUUUGAAAUCAGCAGUUGAAUAUUUGGAUUCCAGUGGAAAUAUACCACAUGUCAAAGUACUUUGUAGACAAUAUAAACAGAUUCAGGGUAUUCUUGUGUACACGUUCAAGAUCCACCUUGACCCCACUGUUGUCACUGAACAAAGCAGUGCACUUGGAAAUUUAGUGUUGGGCUUUCCAAUAAAAGCAGCUGACAUAUUCCAGGAGGUUAUUUUUCAGCUCAUUCAGCAGUUCAGUUUGCUUCCUGUAGAUACAACAGAGUCUCAGAUUUCAGUUGUACUUCGACUUACCUGUUUGCCGGCACCACUGCAGGUCUUACAGGUUUCAAAAGCCACAGAUCUUUCUAGGAACACUGGACAUGCAGGAUUUAUAAAGUUAACUGGAGUGGUCACGGGCUUCACUGGAAUAUCUAAAUACACGCAAAGCACGAAGUAUCUCUGUCCGUAUGAAGACUGCGAGGGCCAUUCAGGAAACCAGUACAUCAGAAUACACAUCCCAGGGGCAUCGGAAACGCAGACGAUUAGAAAUGACUUUAAAUGCAGGUUUUGUGGUUUAACUCUUGUUGAAGUAAAGUCGGCACGCACUAUAUCAGAUUGUCUACUGGCAGAAAUCAUACCCGAUCACUUGUUCACUGGAUUUGGUAACGCUGAGAAAAGCUUUAGAGGACAGUCUGUUCUAGUUUACCUCAGAGAUGAUUUGUGUCUCAAAGUUCAACCAGGCCUCAAAUAUGAAGUCAUUGGAUUGGUGAGAAAGGAUUUAAUUGGAGAACAAGUGACUCUGGCAAUUGAGGCUAAUAACAUCAUAGAGCUGAGUCGUGUUGCAUUACCAAGUGUGAUAGUGUCCACAUUACCUAAAAGUAUUACUAAUCUGCUUGCAGACAGACAGAGUUCAGCCUGGAGCUUUUCACUCAGUCUCGCAUACAUGUUUGCAGGUGAUAUUGUACCUCCAGGAUCAUUUCUGAAAUUGAAAUUAAGUCUGUUGCUGAGUUUGGCUGUAGCAGCAAAUAAUGAUAAACAGCUGCAUGUUCUUGCUAUGGGGAAGGAGACUCAGUAUCUACACCGACUGAUGGAAUAUGGCAAGACGUUUUCUAACCAGCCUGUUACAUACACAGCCGGGAACUAUCUCACUGCUAAUGUGACCAGUGACAGACAUGGCAUGGCUCAAUACUUCAUUGAAGUUGGGUGUUUGCUGCUGGCGGCUGGUGGUGUGUGUUGCAUCAAUGAUUUGUCUCGGCUGAAGAAAUCUGCACGAGAGCAGUUGCAGUCAGUUCUUGCCAAUAAUAAAAUCAGCUUGGAACUGGGAUCAAAGCACACAGGAGGUCUUCCACAAUAUUUGACUUACCCGCUGCAGUGUCAAGUGUGGGCGUUUGCCGAUUCUACCACCCACAGAAAGCCUCAAAACCAGUCAGAGGUUUUCAUCCAUGGAGAAACAGGAAACAUCUCAAAACUCAUGCUUGAUGCAUUUGGAUUGGUUCUCUUCACAGAUGCAACAGACAGUUCUUCCAUCGAUGAUAUUGAUAACCAAAUGACUUGUUUUACAAUUUAUUCUGCCAUGAAUCCCGGAGAAAUAAAAAAUCUGAUACCUAUCACAAGAGAAGAUUUUUUGGAGAUACAUCCAACAAAUCAGAACGAAGAUGACAUCUAGUGCUGAGAAACUGCUUCAGAAUUAUUACCUCACCAGCAGGAGAAACAGAAGUUCUAGAGCUGACAGUACUGAGGUUCCGGUGACAGCUCUUCAAACACUAAUCUCUCUGUCCCAUGGACAUGCAAAGCUCAGUUUGAGGAGGACAGUGCUAGAAGAGGAUGCGGUUAUAGCCAUUAGACUUUAUGAGGAAACACUAACUGCAAGAUUAG
rnacentral:misc_RNA from 1 species